rnacentral:lncRNA from 1 species
GACGGGGCGGGGCGGCCGGGCCGCGGGAAGGGUGUGGGGCCCGCCCCGCCUCGGCCGGGGUGGAUAAAGUGAGGAGCUUGCGCCGGGUGGCUCUGAGGGGCCCUCCUGGGCUUGACAGGCUUCGCUGAAGGCUGGGCGGCUGGCGACGCAGAUCGGGCACAGAGCUUCUUCCCCGGGAGAAGCCAAGCAGCAACAGCCCUUGGAGAGAGACUAAGUUUUCUUGACUUCCACAGUGACAGAGAGCUUGUGAAAGUUGGUACUUCUGGCCUACGCUGCCAUCAUCCUACCACCCAGCCCAAGACAGCCCAGGCUGGACGUUAGUGCCUCCCUCUAUUCCUCUGUGAUCAUCCAGAUCAGCACCUGACUGUUUAUUUUCAAAUCUCACAAACACAGCCGCCAGGUCUUCAUAUUCUGGUUCUCGGCUGCUCUUGAAGGACAGUGACUUGUUACCACCACAACAGCAGAGCCUGCCUUCCUCAGCAGAUCUCCAGUCAGCCCCUGACAUCUCCCCCUCCCUCCCUUGUCUCCCUUUGUGGCCUCCUAAAUGCCCAUCUCGUUGGCCUGGGUUCAACUGGUGGUAUGGAGGGGUGCUGCCUAGCACUGACCUGGGAGUGUGUGUGACCCACUGACCCAAUGGUGAGAACUGACUGCCCAACUCUCCAACUGAUCAUCCAGGGGGUAGAU